UCCAGCUUAACGCUGGCGGUUUCCUUAGAGUUCCCGGCAUAACCCGCUGGCAACUAAGGACGAGGGUUGCGCUCGUUGCGGGACUUAACCCAACAUCUCACGACACGAGCUGACGACAGCCAUGCAGCACCUGUGUGGUAGCCAGCCAAACUGAAGGACUCCGUCUCUGGAGCCCAUACUACCCAUGUCAAGGCCUGGUAAGGUUCUUCGCGUUGCCUCGAAUUAAACCACAUGCUCCACCGCUUGUGCGGGUCCCCGUCAAUUCCUUUGAGUUUUAAUCUUGCGACCGUACUCCCCAGGCGGGGUGCUUCACGCGUUAGCUACGCCACCGGACCCUAAGGGUCCGACGGCUAGCACCCAUCGUUUACGGCGUGGACUAC
rnacentral:misc_RNA from 1 species